GAGAAUUGAAAUUUUUUGAAUAUUGUAAAGUAAAUCAUGGAAUGAAAGUGUGAUUUGAAUUAUAUGUUAUUGAAUGGGAAGAAGAGAGAUUGAAUGCUGAAAUCUGAUUGUAGUUCAGUAGAAAGAAUGAAUCUUUGUUUGUGUGAAACAUUGUAAUGCGAAUGAUAGUUCUGUGUGAAGAAUUCCAGUGAUUGGAAUGAGGGUAAUUGUAUGCUGAAGCUAUGAUGUUGUGGUAUUACAGUUGGAGAUUGUAAGAGUGAAGAUAUAUUGAUAGAAAUAACAGUUAUUGGUAUGACUGAAUUGUUGUAAGGAAGAGAACAAUAAGGUGAAAGGAGAGAUUAUAGUUUCCUUGUGUACUCAGAUAUUGGAAAUAGAGAUAAUACAAUGGAGGUAAUUAAUUGUAUGAUCCUAACAUGA
rnacentral:lncRNA from 1 species